rnacentral:rRNA from 1 species
AUGAUUGGGCUAGAUAAGAGUGAAAACUUUACACACCUGGUGGAAAGGGUGGUGAACCGGUUAAAAUGGUGGAAGGAGAAAUUAUUAUCCCUUGGUGAGAAGGAGAUCUUGUUGAAAGCUGACAUCCAAUCAAUUCUUGUAUUUGUUAUGGCUGUGUUUAAGAUACCAUAGAAGGUAUGUAAGGAAAUAACAGAUGCUAUGGCGGCCCUCUGGUGGGGAGACACAGAAGAGGAGAAGAAAGUGCAUUGGGUAGCCUGGUGGAGGAUGUGCCUACCGAAAUCCAAAGGGGGCAUGGGGUUCAGGGAUCUCCAUGAUUUUAACUUAGCAAUGCUGGCUAAACAGAGUUGCAGGAUGAUUUCUCAUCCUGAGACUUUAUGUGCCCUGAUACGUCUCCAUCGUAUCUACUUUUUCAAACACUUUUGA